GACGAACCGUGCGAACGUUGUUCGGAAUCACUGGGCUUAAAGGGCGCGUAGGCGGCCUGGCAAGUCGGGGGUGAAAUCUUUCGGCCCAACCGGAAAAGCGCCCCCGAUACUGCCGGGCUCGAGGGGGGUAGGGGCGGACGGAACUUCCGGUGGAGCGGUGAAAUGCGUUGAUAUCGGAAGGAACGCCGGUGGCGAAAGCGGUCCGCUGGGCCCCUUCUGACGCUGAGGCGCGAAAGCCAGGGGAGCAAACGGG
rnacentral:rRNA from 1 species